rnacentral:rRNA from 1 species
ACUCUAGAGAAGAGCCUUCCCCUUCGGGGGACAAAGUGACAGGUGGUGCAUGGUUGUCGUCAGCUCGUGUCGUGAGAUGUUGGGUUAAGUCCCGCAACGAGCGCAACCCUUAAACUUAGUUGCCAGCAUUUAGUUGGGCACUCUAGGUUGACUGCCGGUGACAAACCGGAGGAAGGUGGGGAUGACGUCAAAUCAUCAUGCCCCUUAUGAUUUGGGCUACACACGUGCUACAAUGGACAAUACAAAGGGCAGCUAAACCGCGAGGUCAUGCAAAUCCCAUAAAGUUGUUCUCAGUUCGGAUUGUAGUCUGCAACUCGACUACAUGAAGCUGGAAUCGCUAGUAAUCGUAGAUCAGCAUGCUACGGUGAAUACGUUCCCGGGUCUUGUACACACCG